rnacentral:lncRNA from 1 species
UCAGGUCCGCCUAGUAUGGAGCGCUCGGCUUUUCUUUUGUGUGAGGAGCACCCACGACGCCCCGACCAUGGGCGCAGGGGCAGAGGCGAGGGUCGUCGCUCCGUCCGCUACCCCGUCCCCCAGCCGCGGGCGCCGAGGAGCCGGAAGAGAGGCGGAAAGGGCAGCGGGCUCCUUACCCAGACCAGCGAGGGGAGGUCAGCUCGUCGCGGGGUGUGGCUCCCGUCCGGGGACCACCGAGCUCAUUACGGGUGGCCGUGUGUAGCCAAGUUCAAGCUCUCCCUCCGGGAACGCCUGCCGCGGCGGCGGAACACGGCUUCUUCAGGACAUUCAGCAAAGCGGGGAGGCGGGGACCUGCGGGCGGAGGAGCGACGCCCCAGCUGGGAACGCGGCGGACGGGCGAGUGGGGGGUGUGCCCUGGGCGCGCCAGGCCGCGGAGGCUCCGGGGAAAGUUCUCUUGGCCGCGCAAGGGGUGGCGCCCCGGGCGGGAGCAGCCCAGGUGCAUGUGGGCCCGGUCCAGGCGUCUGCAAAAAGCCCUGGAACGAAGCGGACCCCCCAGUCCAGCACUGGCCGCGCCAGGGGCGCCCCUUUUGGGCGGGGUAUCAGCUGGGGGCGGAGGGCGGGGCAGAGACCUUGGUCCCAGCGGCGAGGUGCCGGCAAGUCCACGCUGCCAAGCCGCACGCUGCGCCCAAGCCGCGGGUCAGUCCAGCGCUCGCUGCGUCCUUCCCCCGAGAGACGUGGAGGCUGGGUGGGGAGAAGAGGACGGGGUGCUGCUCGGACCCCACCGUUCGGCGGUCCCAAUCCCACGCCCUCCGCGCGGUCGGCCGCGUCCAGGACUGAGGGGCACAAUAGCUCUGAAGCUGCAGUGACCCCUGGUGGGUCCUGAUGUCCGUGCACAGGCAGCCGAGGUUGAGCUGCGGACGAGACUGAGCCCCGCUGGGCUUCGGAGCAGGUGCAAUCUGUGCUCUCCAGCUGGGAACCAGCAGCGAGUUAAUGCGAGUCGCAGUUAGGGGAGACACGAGGGGAGGUCUCAC